UACGAAGGGUGCAAGCGUUGCUCGGAAUUACUGGGCGUAAAGAGUAUGUAGGCUGUUCUGUAAGUUGAGAGUGAAAUCCCAAGGCUUAACCUUGGAGUGGCUUUCAAGACUGCAGGGCUAGAGUAAGGUAGAGGAUAGCGGAAUUCCUAGUGUAGAGGUGGAAUUCGUAGAUAUUAGGAGGAACACCAGGGGCGAAGGCGGCUAUCUGGGCCUUUACUGACGCUGAGAUACGAAAGUGUGGGGAGCAAACAGG
rnacentral:rRNA from 1 species